AUCAACAUGGAUGAACCUGGAGGAUAUUAAGUGAAACAAGCCAGGCACAGGAAGACAAAUACCACAUGCUUUCACUCAUAUAUGUGGAGCAUUGUACCCUGGAAUGCCAGUUCCUUGAUGAAGAGAUUGGAUUUUUUUGACUGAAUUCUAUAUACUUCUCCAAGUACCUGGUAUUUAGCGGCCUCUCAGCUAUUACUAAUACUUGUUUGGUCCUGGAGAUGUUUAAUAAUUACCUGUUGCUUUAUCUUGAGGAUAGCAGUCAAGUAGAAUGAAGACUGCUGAGGUGAAAAACAGACACACAAAAGCCUAAAUAGCCGAGAGUCCUCAGUUCACUGGAGGCUCCAGAUAUCUUCACAAUUGUAAAGACAGAAACAAAAAAUUUGAAAAAUACCAAAAGGAAAAAUAAGUGCAAACCAAAACAGGGAAUGACAAAGGAAGCCAUCUGAAGAUGCCUUCAUCAUCUGAACAUUUCUCAGUUGCUAUUUUACUUUUUGAAAGUAGACUGUUAUUUAAGAGUCAAUUGCAUUUAUCUGUGCCUCAUCUCCCCUAUUUAUUAUGCCUCCUCAAGGCAUUGGACAAUGUUAACCACAUUCCUUUUAACUCCCCAGAACAUUGAGUCUUAUGCAUCAAGUGAGAGCAAUUUAUAAGCCCUUCGUUAUGUUUUCCCGGAAACUAGAUGAAAGUGUUUUAAGUAAGGAGAAAUCACUUAAAAUGGUAAGCUUGUCUAUUUCUCUGCAUGGUUGAGGACGUCCAGCUGCUCUGGGCUGCAGUUUGUGUCCUGCCAUCCCUGCAAAACUUCUGCCUGAUAUCUGCCUUCACCACCACCCAACCCAAAGCAACUCUGAUUCUGGCAAGCUGACCUCUCUUUUUUCAGGGCAAUUUAUCUCUCCCUGUGCCCUGGGAGAGGCCAGACAACAGUCCUGAGAGACGCUGCCAGCAAGUUGUUUAUGCCAGGAGAGUGUUGCCCUACCCGUGGCCUCACUGCAGAGCCCUCUAUGGAGAGGGGAUGUAUCUGAUUCUGAUGUUCUUUUACAAAUCAAAUUUCUGCAUUUUAAUUUUUGUACCUCUUCUCAGACGCUGCAUUGUAUGAUAGAAUAUUUAUUUUAUUAUUAAAAAUGGUGAAUUAACUAGCACAUUGCUUUUUCUAUCUUAAUAACGACUAUCUUAAUUCUGUAAAAUUAUAAUGUAAGUCUUGAGUAAAGUAGUCAUUGCAGUAUUUUAUAAUCCUAGUCAUAUACCAGAGCUUUCUCAAGGGGAAAAGUAUUAUAGUUAUCUCUUCAAUAUUUGCUUAUGUGAAACAGUUAUUAACACCGUUUAUAGCUAACCCUGUCUGUAGUGACUGUUUUGAGAACCCUAAAUCUCUAAUUUAAAGGCCCAAGAUUUUAUCAGUUUGUAUGGAACCUGUGUUUGCUCCUCAGUCCUGGUUUCCUAAUAAACUUAUGAAGAUAUUUGUGAUGGAUUUCUGAAGAUUUCGAGUACAUGUGAGGGGAUUCAGUACAAAUUACAGGGAUUCAACACAUUGACAGCAGGAAAAAUGUAAUGAAUUGUUAGGUGGGGAAUGAUGUAAAGUGAAGUAAUCUGAAUAAAAGCCUAUAUUAUA
rnacentral:lncRNA from 1 species